UUCUGUAUUUAUUGUAGAAUAUGGUGAGGUUUGUGUAAACUUAAUUUCUGCUAGAUGGCUUCUCAGUUCUCCUAGCGUUCUUAUCAAAUAGAAAGUAGAGGUAAUUUAUAUCUUAUUUCUCAUUUUCACUAGCCUAGUUUGUUCCAGUAAUCAGCUUUUCUAAUUUUUAACCAUUACUAAGUGGUUUUGGUAAUUUCUGCUGUGACAGAGGAUGACACUAAAGGAGGAGUGCCAGAUUAUAUCUUUCUCCUCAUUGGAGGAGGGGCCUCAGGAGGCUGGAAUCUUGAAGAGACAGAAGGUACUUUCUGAAGAGCAGUUGGUCUCUCAGUUUGGAGAAGCUGAAGAGAGAAGGUUGGUUAAGACUUUCUCCUGAGGGUUACCCACCUUUUUCCUAUUAGUGACUGGAAAUCCUUCCCCUCCCCCCCCCCAAUAUUUCCCAAUUGAAAAGACUACUGAAGAGGAAUCUGAGAAAGACAUUUUUGAAUCUUUGUCAGAUCUUACCUUACCUCCUGUUGCCCUGGGUCUGAACUGUGGCUAACUAUGCUAGUUAGGGGGCCAAACCCAGGGUUAGUUAACUUGACUAUCUUUCGAGGGGCUCAGUCUGCCAAAGCCUGGGUUCCCCCCCAAACUUGAGGAGGGAGUAAAAGAGGUUAGUUAGAGAACAAGACCUCCUUUUCCCCACUUUCCUUUCCCAUUCUUUUCCUGCCAGCCAUUCCUUUGUUCCCUAAUCAAAUUAAUUGACGUUAAAGUGGUUAUCCUUUCCCAAAUUUGAAUCAAGUGUGAGUGAACAGCUUCAAGAGGAGAGACUUCUUCUUUAGAAGAAACAUUUUAGUCUCUAAUACUGGAGAGUGGACAAGAGGGACAAAAACAAAUCUGGGAGAGCAGUCAUAGUUAAGGAGGGAAGGCUGAAGGGAGAAAAUCUUCAAACCCCCUCUCCUCUCUCUGAGCCAACUUAAACAUCAGUUAUCUCUCCUAGAUCUUGUUCCCUUUUACCAUCUACAAACCUUCUCCAUUACACUGCUUUCUAAUAUAAUUUGAGUCCUGGAAAUGCUGUUCUUUAUUCCAACUUUAUAUUUUCAGUAUUUCUCUCAUAUUCUAGAUUUUUUUUCCAAAUGAACUUUGUUAUUUUUUAUUUAACUUUAUAAAUUAGCUUGCCAGCUUGGUUGAUUUAGCACUGAAUGUUAAUAUUAUAAUAUUCCCCAUAUUAGACACAGCCCAACAACGAACACUGAAUUACUGGUAUAACAUUAACUAGGUGUGAGAUUGGGUGAGUCACAACUUCCCUGAGUCCCAGUUUCCUCGGAUAUAUAGUUAAGUUAUUGGAUUACAUAUUCUUGCAAGGUCCCUUCUAGCUUGAAAAUGCUAUUAAAUUUUGUCUGCUUAAUACAUGUGAAGCAUAUUUUACUACUCUAGAUACUGCUUUGGUCUUCUGCAAAGUGGGGAGAAGGGAAUCAUAAGUAUAAGCAUUUUUGCAUCUAUAUUGCCAGAAAGCAACUUUUGUUUCUUAUUAAUCUUGGUACUUAGAGACUCCUCUCAGAUGGUACCAAUAAACUCUGCAGCUCUAGAACAAAAAUGGAACACAUCAUCAUUCAACUUCCCUUAUUGUCCAUGCAUGAAGUAAUACAAAGUCAUGAUCCUAGAUCCCACAUAGAAAUCCAGAGGAUACUACAUACUCAUUACAAGGAAAACUAAUGGAGAAACUGGAAGGUCUAAAUCAGUGAGGGAAUGGUUACAUUGUUAUUCUCAUCCCUCACCUGGUCUCUUCUCUCCACACAAUCUUGCUUAUCACUUUGUGUGUGUGUGUGUGUGUGUGUGUGUGUGUGUGUGUGUGUGUGUGUGCAUGCUCAUGUGCUCUAGGUUGUUUAAAGAUGCACCAGCUUUGUUUCCUGACUGAAUUCCAUAAAUAUCCUGGCUAACUGCAGGCCUGCAUGAAAGUGUUGACAUUCCCCAGCUGUUCCCUGCAGACCCAGGAGGUUUCAAUCCUGGGAGUCCAGUACUUGCUAUCCCAUCUGUGCUCUCUGAAGCUUCCAAGCCACACUCUGUGCUACUUGCUGACAUAGAGAGCUUCCUGAUGUCUAUAUCAGAUCACUACUUAGAUUUAUUCUUCCACUCAUUUAAUGCCUGAUGGGACUAAUCAGUUUGAUCUCCAAGACAAAAGAGAUAGUGAUGGUAUAGAAAAAGAAAACAACUUUAAAGCCUAACUUUCUCAACCUUUAGAGAAAGACACAGGAUUGACCUCUGGUUACAGUAAGUUCAGCAGUGCCAAGGUUAGCCAACACAUGGCUGAAAACUCCUACAGAGUCCAGGGUUGCCCAAAGCUUCUUCCAUUUUUGGUACCCUGUCAAUAUCUCAUUCUUGUGCCUACUGUUUCAUUCCUUUCAAUCACUAAUUAGUGAGUAAUGCCUAUAUUGCAUGAGGCACUACCAAGCUAGACACUGAGACAAAUACUAAACCAAGUGAAAAAUGGUCUCUAACAAACUCUUGGAUUUACAAAGCAUUUUCCUUACACCUUAUAAAGUAGGCUACAUAAAUAUUAGUAUCUCCACUUCAAAGAAGAGAAUAUUGGGUCUCAAUGAGGUUAAAUAACUUGUCCAUGGUAAAACAGCUUGUAAGCUUUGGAGCUAGAACUUUAACUCGACUCUUUGUAACAAAAGUUUAACAUGCUUUUGCUGCCAUGGAGCGUGUGUGUGUGUGUGUGUGUGUGUGUGUGUGUGUGUGUGUGUGUGUGUGUGUGUGUGUUUCUUUUGCUUUUAAGUGAAGCAUAUAUUUUUUAGUCAUAUGGAUUUUGUGACAAAAGAUGAAAAAUAAUAAGUUCAGCAGUAUUUCUGUCUAGCUUAAUCAACUUUCACUCCCUCCGCCCUAAGUGCUUUCAGCUGCUAUUAUCUGAGUGUGAGAUAUCUUUUCCCCCAUUCUUACUUUGCUAGUAGAAUAAAAAGUACAGAUUGCACGCAGAAGGUAGAUAGUCAUUUUGAAGCAAGAAACUGCCUACAUUUUGACAGAUGUGAUUAGGGACAUGUGCUAGAAAUAGAAGAUAGGAAUUACUUAGGUCCUGUUCACAGCAGCCUAUUCCUAAUGCUGCAGUGGCCUUUAUGGUACUCUAAGACAUAAUCCUGUCCAUUCUUCUUUACCCCUGGGUUAGGAAUGUCAGCUUUUACAAAAUAUGGAAAAUUUCCUGUUUCACUUUUUUCUUAGCCUACAGUGUACUGCCCACUACCACUGCCAACGCCACCUAUUACUCAGUGACAGACUCAUGGGGUCUCUGCUUUCUAAGCCACUUUUGAUUUGUGAGUUGAAGGCUAGAAUCAUUUUCUGAAGGUUCCUUAUUCUUAUCAGUGUCAACCAGGCCAUGUCAGAUGAAAACCUUGAAGGUGGUAGCCAAGCAUUUACUGUUUCAGUAAACAAUAGAGACGAUUUAUUUUCCAUUACUUUACGGUCAGUCCAGAGUAAUAAGUCCAUAACUGCCACUGGCCCCUUAGGAUGGUCUUGAGGAAAAGAUCGACAUGUUUUUAUUGUUUUCCUUUUCUUCUUUUGGACUUGCUCUGUGAUUUCAUCUGGGUAGGGGGGACUAUUAACAUGGGAACUUUCUCAAACACUGGAGAUAGGUAAAUCGCUCAUCAUUUUAGUCAUGGAGUUAAGAAUCAAUUGACAAGAAUUUAUUAAUUCUGUCCUAUGGCUUACUAGUGUGCCAAGUACUGGGCAUAUAAAGGCAAAAACACUGUCUCUACCAUUAGGAGGAUAGAAGAAGCAGGAAGGUCUUUUUGCAGAAAAUGGUAUUGAAGCUGAAUCUUGAAGGAAGCCAGAAAAGCUAGGAGGCAGAGAUGCAGAAGGAGAACAUUCUAGGCAUGAGGGACAGCCAAUGAACAUCCAUGGAGCUGGAGAGUGGAGCAUCAUAUGUAAGGAAUAGCAAGGAGGUCAAUAUCCAUGGUCACACAGAUAACAUGUUUAAUUGGCAGGAUUAGGACUUGGGUCUGCCCCCUGACUUCAAAGUCAGCCUUCUGUCUACUCUUCUACUCUCUUAUUUGUAAUUUCAUGAGCAUUUUUCAUAUCAUUGACCCCAAUUUGGCCUAAAAUAAAAUAAUACAAGGAGGAUUUUUUUGGUCAAAACUAGUAGUUACUUUUAGUAUAGGAUAUUUCUGCUAUCAAAAUUCCCUUCACCUAUGGAGAUCAUCAGCUCUUUGGUAAAUUAUACUUUUAUAAGCCUGGGAGAGUUUAUAUGAUUUGGACGUGAAAACUAGAUGAUCUUGGAUGUCCUUUCUAACUUUGAUAUUCUGUGGAAUAUAUACACAUAUACCUAUUUAUAAUAAAUGUAUAGAUGCAUACAUAUACACAUAUCUUUACAUCUGUGUGUGUGUGUGUGUGUGUGUGUGUACAAGUAGUUGGCACAAUGGAUAACCUCAGACACUAGCUGUGUGACCCUGGGCAAGACAAUUAAUCCUUUUUGCCUCAGUUUCCUCAUUUAUAAAAUGAACUGGAAGGCCUAGAGAUAGGAGGACUUAAGUUCAAAUCUGACCUCAGGUACUUCCUAGCUGUGUGACCCUGGGCAAGUCACUUGACCCCCAUUGCCUAGCUCUUACCACUCUUCUACCAAUACAUGGUAUUGAUUCCAAGAUGGAAGGUAAGGGUUUAAAAAAAAAAAAGAAAAUCCCAAAUAGGGUCAUGAAGAAUCACACAUGACUAAAAUGACUGAACAAAUGAACAAACAUAUCAUAACAGUUCUCAUUGAAUCUUGUCUCUUUAUUUCAUUUACCAUACUCUAUUAUAACUAUGUAAGUACACAUCUUAUCCCUAAUAUACUUCUUGAGCUCUAGAACUCUGUCUUCAUCUCUGUGUGAAUAAAGCAGCAAGUACAUGCUUUAUAUAUAUCUAGACAUUCAGUAAAAUGUUUGAUGCAUGAAUAAAUGAAUGCUCACAAUAAAAAAAAUCAUUGGCUUCAUUAUCCAUUUGGAGGAUAAGGUCUCAGGAUAAAGAUUUUGAUUAUUUGAAAGGAGCUUCAUUAUCAAGUAUGAUUAACAUCUAAGCUUGACAUUAACUAAAGAUCUUCAGAGCUCUCAAGUCCUUAAAAGUUGAGGGAGCCAGUAUAGUAUAAAAGAGUAGUGAACGAGAAAUCAGCAAUUCCUAAAGCAACUGCUUGGCACAAUGUAUAAUAUUUUGAGCUCUGAGCAAAGACAACAGAAUUCUAAUGCAGCCUCAGACACUUGGUACCUAUGUUACUCUAGGUAAGGCUCUUAACCUCAUUGUAUCUCAGUUUUCUUUCCUGUAAAAUGGGAACCAGCCCUCAGGUUUGUUGUGAGGAUGAGAUGAGAUAGUACUUGUAAAGUGCUUUGCAUAAUGCCUGGCACAUAGUAGGUUCUUAUACAAUACUUGUUUCUUUCCUGCUUAGUUUAAUUCUUGGCUUUAUAGUUAUAGGAGAGCAUGCUUCUCAGUUUCCUUGUCUGUGAACUGGGAGAAAGAGAGAGCGAGAGAGAGCUGUACUAUAUUCUCUCCAGAGUACAUUCCAGCUGCAGUAUUCAGUGUUUCUGUGAGAGGGCUAAAUGGUCUUGGUUGACAUUUGGUAGUAUUGUAGAAUGGAUCAUCAUUGAAAUAGAGAGUAUAAAGACACAUGAUAUUCUUCAAUAAGACAUGGCCUACUUUACUAUAUAUGACAAGGAGCAUGGUUAAGUACUGAAUCCCCAGAGCACUAAUUGCCUUCUUCUACAACUGAAUAUGGCAAACCCAGUACCUAAAAGAGCCUCCCAAAGUGAAGAACAGAUUCCAGUCCCACAAACCUUGGCAGGACACCAUGCAGCCAUCCCUGUGGCUUCAUUCAUCUUGGCACUGAACCUAUGGAGCCUGAUUAGAAGCAAUAAAAGGUGGUUGGGACCAUGCUAGUGAGUGAAGAUCCUGAGUCAUGGGAGAGGAGAAGCAAUGUGUGCAGCAGCACGUGUUAAAUGUUUCAUAGAAUCCAAAGCAGCAGUAGAAGGGAGUGAUAAAGAGCGCAUGCCAAUGAAGGGAAUCAGUUGCCCAAACAGCUCUCUCACCACAGGAGUGAAAAGUUCAGACAGAAUUUCAAUUGCUUCCUGAAACACAGCUGCAGUGAGAGCAUCUCAAUCAGCCCUGCAAUUUGUUGACUCCUUUUAAAAAUUGAUGCUUCUUAUUUAAUAAAAAAAAAAAGUGAGGGCAGUAGAGAGAAAUGGACACCUGGAUAUCAGAUGCAAUGGGCUUUUUCUAUGGAGCAGACAGUAAGACAAGAAAGCUACAGAUUAUAUCAAGAUGAUUGGUAAUCACAUGGAAAAGUCAAUACUAGAGCUGAUGACAGAGCUCCAGGUGCUCAGAUUCUUAUUUGAGUUGUAUCUGUUGGGGCUCAACUGGGCACUAGUGUUUUUUUCUUUCUGACUUACCUUGUCCCAUGUUAAUUAAGUCUAAGAUCACAUGAAUACAAAGAAAUUUUACUUCCUUAGAUCAAAAGAUUCCUAAUUGCUUUGAUUUGGAUAUUCAGCUCAGCAGUAGAGUUUAAGGAGUUUGUGGGGUAGAUAAAAGCCAUUCAUUAUCUAGGUUGAUCCUUAGGUACACAGAGGCACUCCAUUGCUGAAUUCAUACUUAAAACCAUUCCAAUUUGGUAGGACCUGUUGUUCUCUAGUUGCUAUAGACUUAAAGAGUCCAGUGAGGAAGGAAUAAAUAAGUUACAGCCUAUACAAAGUUAUGGAGAUGGUAGAUGGAAUAUCAUGUAUGAGCAAAAACAAGUUGACCAGUUUGGUUGGCCUGAAAAAUGAAUAAAGGGGAUUAAUGUAUAAUAAGCUUGGGAAGGUAGGAUGAGGUCAAGCUAUGAAAGGUUUUAAAAACCAAAUAGAGGAAUUUUUUCAUUCUAUUCUAUAGGCAACAGGGAGCCACUUGAAUUUUGUGAACAAAUGAGUAACAGGGUCAGAUUGGUGAUUGCAGAUGAUCCCUUUUGGCAAUAGUAUGGUGGAUGGAUUAGAGACAAUUGAAACUUGUGGCCAGAAGAGGAGACUUUUCUAAUAGUCCAGGCAAAAGGUGAUGUGGAUUGGACGCAGAGUGUUGGCUAUGGGAAUGGAGAGAAUAAAAUCAUUGUAAUGGUAGAAUUAAUAAGACUUGGCAACUGGCUUGGUUUGGUAGGUGGAAAAGAGUAGAGUCCUAAAUAUAUAGCCUUGAGUAGUUUAUCUUAUUUCUGCAUAUAAAAUAUCCUCUAUAAUAUUUGUUGGAUGACUGAAUUUUAUAGACUCAGCCCUUGACCUUUGGAAACUUUCAGAAUGAUAUAGGCUGAACAAAUAUAAACCAAAAUAAAACUGGAUUAUUGGCCCAUUUUUUGUUAGCAUUCUGUCUUUGACAGUGGUACCAAGGGACAUCAACAUCAAAGGCAGGACCAUCCUUAAAGUAGCCCAUGGACUUUUGUAAUGUGGUCUUCAUAUACAUAGUGUUAUUAUCACUUUUUGUGACAUUUAAGAAUUCAUAACUCUGAAAAGAAUAUAAACACAAAUAUCAUUUCUCACUACAGCAGUUAUCAUCUUUUUAACUAGAUAACAAACAUGAACAGGCACUUCCUUUCCCCUUCAAGAGCAUUUAUAUGUAUUAGUCGCUAGAUCCCCAAACUGUGAUUUUCAUUACCUAUGUCAGCUCUUUGCCUUAUUAAAAAGGCACUAUUUAUUUGUCACUUCCCCAUUCCUUCCUUCUCAACCAACCUGCAAGGGGAAGAGAUUAUAAUUAUUAGUAUCUGCACUGCACAUUUUACCCUCAGGUCGUAUUGCUUAUCAUUAACCUGAUGUAUUAUUCAAUUGGAAUACUUUCCUAAUCUUUCUCUUUGUCUCUCUGUCUGUCUCUGUUUCUCUUUUUCUCUCUGUGUCUCUCUCUGUCUCUGUCUGUCUGCCUCUCACUCUCUGUCUCUCUGAUUCUCUCUCUCUCUUUUUAUUAUGUCUCUGUGCCAGUGUCUUUCUCUGCCUUUCUGUCUCUCUUUUAUAAAUAUCCAUGUUAUUAUUAUUUCUAUUAUCCCGUCCACUACUCUAGAAGAGACCCUUAUUAUCACCUUCUUGGACUAAAGCCAUAACCUCCUAACUGGUCGCCAUACUCAAUGCUUCAAGUUUCAACAAAUAUAUCCUUCAUACUGCUAGUACAUUAAUUUUCCUUAUGGAUAGAUCUAAUUUUUCAAUUCAACAAUUUAAAUGGACAAAUAUUUAUUAAGCACUUACUCUUACAAGGCACUCUCCUAAGCACUGAAGAUACAAACACAAAAAGGAAACUGUCUCUGUUCUCAUGGGUUUGGGGAUACCAUAUAAAUGUGGGUAAGUAUAUUCCAGGAGAGAAGGUAAGUUCAGUUCUAUUUACAUAUUGAAGGAGUACUAAGUGCUGUUGCAUCCUCUAAAUAGUAGAAUUCUGGGUCAAAGCCAUGAUUACUUUAAGGAUGAGGAUGACAUUAGUUAUGAGUGUAGAUAUCAUGAGAAGGAGUUUCUGGCAGGGAUUAAGAUUUUUACAUCAGCAAAAGGGGUCUCUAAAUCACAGGGAAACAGGAGGUGGGGGAGGUAGGAUUUUGCUAGUCAUAAAAUAGAGGAAUUAUCAGUUAAUAGAGGAAGAGGGUUGAGUUGCAGGCUCUCCUUAGAGUAGGAGUUCUUAAUCUCUGUGUGUCAUGGACCCCUUUGGUAGUCUGGCAAAGUCUAUGUAACCUUCAAAAUGGUAUCUGUUGUCUACAUACAUAACAGAAAAUAAUGUUAAAGUUUGAUCAGAGGUUUGUGAAAAUAAAGACAUAGUUUUUUCCCAUACAAGCUCAAACAUCCAUAGGUUUUUCCUAUGACAAAAAACAUUGCAGCAGAGAAUAUAAAUUCCUUGAAGGCACACAUUUCAUUUUUCUUUGUAUUCUCUGGGCUUGCUUAGCACAGUGUAUGUAUUGGAUAAAUGUUUGUUGAUUGAUUGAUUCCAUUCUUUUCCAUCAUAAUCCUUAUAAGGUUUUGGGUGUUGAGGUCAGAUGCCUGCUGUGGCAAAGGCCACCUCAAGACUUAAGGUGACAUGCAGCAGAACAGCCUCCACUAUUUCACCUCCUCCAUCCCCUGAUUACACACUUGCCUAGAAAAGUAGUCAUGCUAAUGGAGUCAGGAAAAGAUUUGAUUUCCUUUGGGCAGCUGACCUUACCUUCUUAAAGAUCAUAAUGAUCACCUGAAAGAUUGUGUGGUGAGAAAGCCUUUAGUCCCAAUCUUUAUUAGUGGCGAUGUGUCUAAUUUAGUAAUCAGAUCCCUCCCUGGGGACCAACUAAACUCACACAUUGUACUUUCCUCCCCUAGAUUGCUUUCUUGCCUUACUUUUUGCAAAGAACAUCCUCUUGUGCCCACUCCAAUCUGGUAUUUGCUUACAACUGUCUACUUUUCUGGAAAUUGUAGAAUAUACAGAAUUAGAAGAAAUCUCCCUUUUAUUAAAGAACUUGGAGUUACCAAAUUAAGGAAGAAAUUUUAAUAAUCACAGAACAUUUAAAAUUAUAUGUAAACAGAGUAGAACAAAAUUUUAAAUUGCAGUUCAAUGUGUUGUGAUCCACUUGACAUACCUACUUUUGGUAAUAGUCCAUAUGCACAAACUUUCUCUCUGCCUCUACCUUAUACCCCAUCAAAUCUUAUGUAUCUUGGAUCCUACUCUCUAAGGAUUUAUUUCUGACCUAAGUGAUGGUUAGCUAAUCUGAUUAAUUCAUCUAAAUUAAAGUGCUAAUAGAGUCUAAUGGAGUAGUGGGUUACCUCUCCAAGGAAAUAUUUGCAUUUUUAUAGGGGACAGGUAUCUGAAGACAAAUCCCAUAAUACAAAGAAGUAGCUCAAAGGGGAGAGUUUUCAGAUGCUGUGACAUAGUUAAUGAGGAUGACAUUUUUGGAUAUAUGUGGUUUUUAUUCUCCAUGAAAUAACACUAUGUAUGUAACCAGCAAUGUAUAUAAAAGUAGUGAGUGAGCUUUCCUUUGAGAGAGUAAUUUUGGUUACUACAAAUUAAUCUUUUUCUCCCCACAGCUAGAAGCCUACACUUUGAUAAGUGCUUUUAUUUCAGCCUUUGUCUUCAACAUAGGGGUCUAUCCUGAAAUAUUUCCAUUAAGGAAUAAGUUGGUUUCCAAGAUGAAGCGGAUGAAUGAAUUUGAAAUAUGAUCAGGGGAUCACUUGAGGUAGCUUGUAGCAGUCCAGCCCAUAGGUAUUAUGGAGAGACAAGGAUUGUGAAUGGGCACAUGGCCAUUCUGCGCAUGGCAAUGAACUCUGUUCCCAGCGGCUGGAAUUAGGGCAUGAAACCUUGCUUCCCUUUGUCUCACUCACCUGAGGAUAAAAACUCCACCUUCACCUUGUUGUAAUUUGCAAUUAUCCAAUGGCAAUACACUAUGUAACUCAUCAAUAUGUAUUGAGGCAUUGUGUAACUUAUCAAUAUGUAUUGAGUUCAUUUGCAUAUCAAAGAGAUUAAAUUGGGAAGCCUUGGCCAGCUCCUCUCUCCUUGGACAAUCUCACAGGUUUGCUCAACACUUUUUCCACCUUUCUCUCUCCUCCCUAUCUUUACCUGAGGCCUGGCCUUCAACCAGGUGUCUCUCUUUCUUUUCCAAUGCUAAUACCUAGCAUUCUCUAAUUCUCUCUAUUAGUCUCUAUUCAUUCUUCCAGCUGAACUAUAUCAUCCUCUGACCAGUGCAGUGUUAAAUUGGGAUCUCUGGAUGGAAUAUAGCCUUUCAGUGACGUCCAUUGAUCAGAGCAUGGCUGCGGCUCCAAAAUAUUAAUAAUAAUUGAUUACUGACUCAUUAUUGACAUCUCAAAGGUUGGCUCUUUCACACCCUUCAUGGGAUCCAAAACUUCUAUCCCUUUUCUAUUUUCCUACCAUAAGGCUUCCUGCUGGCCAGGAGGCUUUAUAGCUAGGUGAAACCUCCUCAAUAUUACUAAUAAAUAAUAUUUGGAUAUCAUGUAGCAAUUUAUUUAUACCUCUUUUCUGCAUUUAGCAUAAAUUAGAUUAUUUUUUAUUUAGGUAUGAAUCAAGCCCCAUGGACAAGGACUCUAGGUAGUAGAUGGUAUUCUUGUUCAUUCACAGUUUGGAUGAGAUGACUUCUGAGACUCUUUCCAACUCUGACAUUUUGUGAUUCUGUAAUAUUGUCUUGCCUAAAAUUUUUAGCUACCUUAGCACCUAACAGAGUACUAAGUCCAGAGUUGAACUUCAAUAAAUGUUUGUUUAAUUGAAUAGAAUACUACAUUUAGGAUUAUUUGAAAUUGCUUUAAAACCCAGGAAUGGUUUUAAAAUAUAUUUGUGCCUAGAAAUUCUUCAAAAAGGCAUUGAGAUUGUCUAUAUUUCUGGUAUGUUUAGUAAAAAAAAAUAAUCAAAAGUGGUUUUCUUGAUUUUGGCCUGUCAUUAAUCAACAGAUUGAUAACUUGAAAAUAAAUUAACAGAUGCUAUAAUUUCUUUUCCUUCAAUAGCUGUUAUCAUAAAGGUACCACAGGAAAAUUAGUUAUACCUAGACAAAUUUUAAUCUUUAAUAAUAAAGAAUGAAAUCAAAUUAUUUAAUUUCUAGUAGAGUCCAAUAUUCAAAGGCUCUUAGGGCUAUUUUUUAUGAAAACAAAGCCAGUUUCCAAAUCUAUUUUUUUCAGUUCCACAAUACUAACUUAUUGACAAUUUACUUGGAAAGAAAAGGGGAAAAAUUGUAGUUUAAGCAGAAUUUUACAUGCAGUAAUCAAUAUUCUCAUUACUAACCAUUUACCCAAAAUGCAUGAUGAAAUUUGAAUCUAAAGGUUCUUCUACGAGCUAAGAUGAGGUACCAUUAAGCAAAUAACUCCCAAACUAAGCAUCCCCACCCUUACAUCCAAGGAAGAGAUUGUACAGUCAAGCUUGUUUCUGGGUUGGGGGCUAUUAGGAAAAUAGAUCUCUUGAACAGAAUUUCUGUCUUUUAGUCUUUCCUUUUCCUUAUACUCUUCCUUCCCUUUCAAAUUCACUGUCACUCCGCUCUCCAGAGUUCUGAAGAUCCUAAUGUACAGGGAUUCAAAAUGGCUACCCAUAGCAGCUGCAAGCAGCAGCUAACAUUUUAUUUCUGGCCUGGUUAGGAAUAACCUCUUUUGCCUUACUUAUAUCUCUGCUGCAGCUGUAUUAUUCUAAACAGUAUUUUUCUCAUUCUUGUUUAAAGUCUAUGAGAAGUCUAUGAGAUCUAUUUAAAGAAACUCCAAGGAAAGCCCCCUUUUUGGUCAAAUUCUGAAACUUGAAAUGAAAAAUUGAAUUAAAUGAAAAAGUUGAUCUGAUGCUGGACCAGAGGAAAAAGUGUGAGCAGGCAUAGGUUAAAUUUAGACAGAGCUCAGUCUAUGUGCUUUUCCCCCAUUUAACUUGUCUGCUUUGGAGUUUUAAUUAGUACCAGUAUGUAUUCACUUUCCUUUGGAGUCAUCAUAAAUUAUUUGGGAAUAACAUCAUGGAAACAGUUUCUUGGACUGUGAUCCAGUUAGUAAUUUUUAAAAAUUGAAAUCACACUUAUUAGCUUAGUCUGCUACUAAUGAGGCAGAGAUCCUGCAUUCUGUCACCAUGUGAAUUAGAAUACCCUUUUCAGGGAAACCUACUGCAUCUUUAUCUCAAGCCCACCCUCUCACAGACUUAUGUGCAUGUUGGCAGUCACAAGGCAGAUCGAGAAAUUAAUGUAAAUCCACUAUUGUAAACCAACAAAGUAUCUUCCCUACUGGCCAUGGGCAUAAAGGAUAAUAGCAAGAUAAUGCUGCUCCAUGGGUAUAACAAUGAGGGUACUGACCCUUGGCAUCUUUUCUUUCAUAAAACAGGAUUAACAUCAAGCUGUCAAUCUAACAGUAGGAGCCUAGCAUGGUCCUGAACAUUGUGAGGUACCAAAAAAUAAGGCAUUUUCCAUGAUAAAGUGUUUACAACCUAGCUAUUAUGUUGCUACAUAUAGUGGAUCCUAAAGAGAGAUGCAUUAAGUAUAAUAGCUAUCAAUUUGUAUUAUGUGCAUAUCUUUAUGUCUUUAUAAUUUACAAAAUAUUGUGUGUUCAUUAUGGUCAUUUGGGCAAGUCAGUUAACCUAUCUGAGGCUCAGUUAAGUAAUUUAUAAAAUGGUAAAAUAAUAAAGUUGCUGUGAAGUUUACUGACAUAAUUUAUGUAGAAAUAGUAUGAUUAUCCCAGUUUUAUAGAUGAGAGAACAGAGGCCAAGAAAGUUUAAGUGUCUUUCCCCAAGACCCCAUAGAUAUCAAGUGGUAGAGCUGGGAUUUGAAUCCAAAACUUUUGACUCCAAAUAAAGGACCCAUUCCACAAUACCACAGCUUAGGAUGAUGAUGAUGAUAAAUAAUAAUAAUGUUUGAAGUUUAUAAGGAACCCAGAUAGAGCUCUAAACUUGGAACCUUGAGACCUAAGUUAGGAUCCUGGUUCUACCAUUUACUAGUUUUUUUACCUUGGACAAGUCACUUCACUACUCUUGGACUUAGUUUCCUUCUCUGUAAAAUGAAGGAGUUGGACUAGAGGGCUCCUAGGUUACCUUCCAGUCCAAGGUCCUAUAAAUUACAUAGUAGUGUAUCCUCAUUUUACAGAUGAGGAAUCUGAGACUCAGAAACACUAAAUGACUUGCCUAAGGUCAAAUAGCUACUAAGUCACAGUCUCUACUAGGAGAAAAGACACCUUGUUUCCUUCAAGAUAGAAGAUCCCUUGAACUCUACUGAUCAAUGUGUUCAAUGGAUUGCACAGAAGAACUGCCAUAGGGAAUAUAACACUCCAACAAGACCUUCACAUUAUGAAUAGUCUAGUCGGUCUGGAUAAUAAGUGGUUGUCUGGGGAAUUAUUGACAUACUGUUACUUCAGGGAAUCAGAAAGGUCAGACACAUUGACCAUAUUUAAACCCCCAGGAAAGGACAGUUUUAGUAAUUUGAUACCUGUGAAGAUACCAGAACAAAUUGUCAAACAAUCAAUUCAGUAAUCACCUAAAAGGACAAUUAACAUGAUUUGUGAGAAGAGGGAACUCUUCCCAACAAACUUCAUUUCCUUCUCUGACACAGUACAAUGUUGUGGAGCUAAAAGGAACAAAAAAGUAGAUGUAAUUUAGUGGGACUUCUGUAAUACUUUGGGUCCUGCCUUAUAAAUUGGGAAGCAAGUCUAAACCAAUAUUGUUCUUUUAAUCUUUAAUUUUCACAUGAAGAAAACAAUUAUAAAAAUAUGCAAGAGAGGGAUCUGGACACACUAGAGAUAUUUUUAGAUAUUUUGUUUCAUUAAGUCUUCUGAAGAUAAAGUAAGUUUACUUAUAUAUCUUUUUAUUUUAUAUGCUAUAAUCUUGUUUAUGCCACUUCUUGAUGCAUUUAGGAAAUACAAUGAACCUUUCAGCAUUCUAGUCUAUGUGAUUACAUCAUUUUCUCAUAGCUUUUCUUUUAAAUGCAACUGAUGUUCUCAGAAAUGAUAAUGGCAUGUGAGAUAAAAGGCGUAUUAAUCCAUGCUGACAAUUUGCUUUGUAUCAUAAUCUCUCAUAUUUUGACAAAGCAGGCUUUGCUUUUGGGUGGAUAUUUCUGGUUCCAUUGUAUCAUUAUGUAAAAUUUUGUAGUCAUUCAGAAAGAAGUAAUUAUAAAGUUCCUUCUUUAAAGUUGGACUUUGGUUGUUGCUGAGCAGUGUUCUAGUGAUUGAUUUUGAAUAUUAAAUUAAGCUAUUUUCAAGUUUAAUUACUUUGGGGCAUUGCCUUCUCUAGUUUUUUUAAAUGUACCUUUGUUUUCUCAGCCUUUUCAGUAAUUUUGUAAGAUGGCAGUGUUCUAUACACUACCAAGUUUGCAAUUUUAAAGUUUAGUGUUCAAGAAUGAAUUAGAGAUUCCUGGCAUCAAGUUGGUGAACAUUUUUCCCCCUAGAAUAUUACCAAGUCUCUUUUCUAUCCUGUCAUAU